rnacentral:rRNA from 1 species
GAUGAACGCUGGCGGCGUGCCUAAUACAUGCAAGUCGAGCGAACGGACGAGAAGCUUGCUUCUCUGAUGUUAGCGGCGGACGGGUGAGUAACGCGUGGAUAACCUACCUAUAAGACUGGGAUAACUUCGGGAAACCGGAGCUAAUACCGGAUAAUAUUUUGAGCCGCAUGGUUCAAAAGUGAAAGACGGUCUUGCUGUCACUUAUAGAUGGAUCCGCGCUGCAUUAGCUAGUUGGUAAGGUAACGGCUUACCAAGGCAACGAUGCAUAGCCGACCUGAGAGGGUGAUCGGCCACACUGGAACUGAGACACGGUCCAGACUCCUACGGGAGGCAGCAGUAGGGAAUCUUCCGCAAUGGGCGAAAGCCUGACGGAGCAACGCCGCGUGAGUGAUGAAGGUCUUCGGAUCGUAAAACUCUGUUAUUAGGGAAGAACAUAUGUGUAAGUAACUGUGCACAUCUUGACGGUACCUAAUCAGAAAGCCACGGCUAACUACGUG